rnacentral:rRNA from 1 species
CUCAAAUCAGAUGGGACUACCCGCUGAACUUAAGCAUAUCAAUAAGCGGAGGAAAAGAAACUAACAAGGAUUCCCCUAGUAACUGCGAGUGAAGCGGGAAAAGCUCAAAUUUGAAAUCUGGCUGCUUUUGGCAGUCCGAGUUGUAAUUUCGAGAAGUGUUACCCGUGCUGGACCGUGCAUAAGUCUUCUGGAAAGGAGCAUCAUAGAGGGUGAAAAUCCCGUCUUUGGUACGGACUCCCAGUGCAUUGUGGUAUGCUCUCAACGAGUCGAGUUGUUUGGGAAUGCAGCUCAAAAUGGGUGGUAAAUUCCAUCUAAAGCUAAAUAUUGGUGUGAGACCGAUAGCGAACAAGUACCGUGAGGGAAAGAUGAAAAGAACUUUGGAAAGAGAGUUAAACAGUACGUGAAAUUGUCAAUAGGGAAACGCUUGAAGUCAGUCGCGUUGCUCUGGGAUCAGCCUUCCUUUUGGUUGGUGUACUUCCUGAGUGACGGGUCAGCAUCAGUUUUGACUGCUGGAAAAAGGCUUAGGGAAUGUGGCUCUUUCGGGAGUGUUAUAGCCCUUUGUCAUAUACAGUGGUUGGGACUGAGGAACUCAGCACGCCGCAGAGCAGGUCUUCGGCCACAUUUCGGUCUU